GCGUGCCUUUUGUAGAAUGAACCGGCGAGUUACGAUAUGAUGCGAGGUUAAGUUGAAGAGACGGAGCCGUAGGGAAACCGAGUCUGAAUAGGGCGCUUUAGUAUCAUGACGUAGACCCGAAACCAUGUGACCUACCCAUGAGCAGGUUGAAGGUGCGGUAAGACGCACUGGAGGACCGAACCAGGGCACGUUGAAAAGUGCUUGGAUGACUUGUGGGUAGCGGAGAAAUUCCAAACGAACUUGGAGAUAGCUGGUUCUCUCCGAAAUAGCUUUAGGGCUAGCGUCGACAUAAAGAUUCUUGGAGGUAGAGCACUGUUUGGGUGAGGGGUCCAUCCCGGAUUACCAAUCUCAGAUAAACUCCGAAUGCCAAUGAAUUAUGGUCGGCAGUCAGACUGCGAGUGCUAAGAUCCGUAGUCGAAAGGGAAACAGCCCAGACCACCAGCUAAGGUCCCAAAAUAAUUGUUAAGUGGAAAAGGAUGUGGGGUUGCACAGACAACUAGGAUGUUAGCUUAGAAGCAGCUAUUCAUUCAAAGAGUGCGUAAUAGCUCACUAGUCGAGUGACCCUGCGCCGAAAAUGUACCGGGGCUAAAACAAUUUACCGAAGCUGUGGAUACCUUUAUAGGUAUGGUAGGAGAGCGUUCUAUGUGUGAUGAAGGUAUACCGUGAGGAGUGCUGGAACGCAUAGAAGUGAGAAUGCCGGUAUGAGUAGCGAAAGACAGGUGAGAAUCCUGUCCACCGUAAGACUAAGGUUUCCAGGGGAAGGCUCGUCCGCCCUGGGUUAGUCGGGACCUAAGGAGAGACCGAAAGGUGUAUCCGAUGGACAACAGGUUGAUAUUCCUGUACUAGAGUAUGAAGUGAUGGAGGGACGCAGUAGGCUAACUAAAGCAGACGACUGGAAGAGUCUGUCUAAGCAGUGAGGCGUGGUAUGAGUCAAAUGCUUAUACCUAUAACGUUGAGCUGUGAUGGGGAGCGAAGUUUAGUAGCGAAGUUAGUGAUGUCACACUGCCAAGAAAAGCUUCUAGCGAUGUAUCAUACUCUACCCGUACCGCAAACCGACACAGGUAGUCGAGGCGAGUAGCCUCAGGUGAGCGAGAGAACUCUCGUUAAGGAACUCGGCAAAAUGACCCCGUAACUUCGGGAGAAGGGGUGCUGGCUUAAAGUCAGCCGCAGUGAAUAGGCCCAAGCAACUGUUUAUCAAAAACACAGCUCUCUGCUAAAUCGUAAGAUGAUGUAUAGGGGGUGACGCCUGCCCGGUGCUGGAAGGUUAAGAGGAGUGCUUAGAGGUAACUCGAAGGUAUGAAUUGAAGCCCCAGUAAACGGCGGCCGUAACUAUAACGGUCCUAAGGUAGCGAAAUUCCUUGUCGGGUAAGUUCCGACCCGCACGAAAGGCGUAAUGAUUUGGGCACUGUCUCAACGAGAGACUCGGUGAAAUUUUAGUACCUGUGAAGAUGCAGGUUACCCGCGACAGGACGGAAAGACCCCAUGGAGCUUUACUGCAGUUUGAUAUUGAGUGUCUGUACCACAUGUACAGGAUAGGUAGGAGUCUAUGAGAUCGGGACGCCAGUUUCGAAGGAGACGUUGUUGGGAUACUACCCUUGUGUUAUGGCCACUCUAACCCGGAUAGGUUAUCCCUAUCGGAGACAGUGUCUGACGGGCAGUUUGACUGGGGCGGUCGCCUCCUAAAAGGUAACGGAGGCGCCCAAAGGUUCCCUCAGAAUGGUUGGAAAUCAUUCGCAGAGUGUAAAGGUAUAAGGGAGCUUGACUGCGAGAGCUACAACUCGAGCAGGGACGAAAGUCGGGCUUAGUGAUCCGGUGGUUCCG
rnacentral:rRNA from 1 species